AUUGAACGCUGGCGGCAGGCCUAACACAUGCAAGUCGAGCGCGCGUCGGACGGGUGAGUAUUGUAUGGGGCCUCCCCGAUAGAGGGGGAUAACUCCUGUAAACGCUAGCUAAUACCGCAUACUAUCGGAUAACCCAUAUGGGAUUAGCUAGUAGGUGAGGUAAUGGCUCACCAAGGCGACGAUCUCUAGCUGUUCUCAGAGGAUGAUCAGCAACACUGUGACUGAGACACGGUCCAGACUCCUACGGAGGCAGCAGUGGGGAAUAUUGCACAAUGGGCGCAAGCCUGAUGCAGCCAUGCCGCGUGUAUGAAGAAGGCCCUAGGGUUGUAAAGUACUUUCAGUCGGGAGGCGUUACCGACAGAAGAAGCACCGGCUAACUCCGUGCCAGCAGCCGCGGUAAUUC
rnacentral:rRNA from 1 species